UUAAGCUGUGUUUUAAUUGAAAAUAACUUUUUUCUUUACUUUGUUUUUCAGGAAGAUUUACAAACAUAAAUGCAAAUUGGCCAGGUUGUUGUCAUGAUUCCCAUGUUUUCCGAACAUCACAGGUGUGUGCUCACAUGGAGAGAAAUGGCAAUUGGGAAAAUGGUAUCUUACUUGGUGAUAGUGGCUAUCCCUGCAGGUCUUUUUUAAUGACACCUUUUCUGAAUCCCAUUGAACAACACCAUAGAAGGUACAACAGAUGUCAUGCGGUCACAAGAUCUGUUAUAGAAAGGACAUUUGGCAGAUGGAAGAGAAGGUUCCACAUAUUGCAUUCUGAAAUUCGUAUGGAUCCCAAAAAGGUAACCAAAAUAGUUAUGGUUUGUGGCAUUCUUCACAACAUCUGCAUACAACUUAAUGAACCAGAUGUAGCAGCGGAAGAGCCUGUUAAUGAGGAUGUAGAAAAUGGAAUAAACUACAAUGGACAACAGGAUGGAAGAGGGAUUAGGGAACACAUUGCUGGAACUUAUUUUAACCGUCAUUAAAGUUAAAGCAUC